rnacentral:lncRNA from 1 species
CCCCAUUUUCUUCACCCACUUUUCCCCCAUUUUUCCUCCCAUUUUUUUCCCAUUUCUCCCCCAUUUCUCCCCAUUUUUUCCCAUUUUCUCCCCAUUUUUCCCCAUUCCUCCCCAUUUUUUUCCCAUUUCUCCCCAUUUCCCCCCAUUUUUUUCCCAUUUUCACCCCGUUUUCACCCCGUUUCUCCCCAUUUUCACCCCGUUUCUCCCAUUUUCACCCCGUUUCACCCCAUUUCUCCCCGUUUUCACCCCGUUUUUCCCCAUUUUUCCCCAUUUCCCCCCGUUUCUCCCCGUUUCCCAGCCCCGAGUACUCCCGCUACUUUUCCCGGCGGGAUCUGGAGGCGUUUUCGGCGGAGCCGCUGCUGCUGUUCCCCACUCACUACACGGGGGAGCCCGGCUACGUCAGCGACACCGAGACGGCCCCGGCGCCGCCGCGCGACGAGCUCUGACCCCAAUAAAACUCACACUUGGAUUUUUAAACGGCUUUUUGCUGGUUUUAUUUUCGGGAUUUUUUUUGGGAUUUUUGGGGAUUUUUUAUGGGGUUUUUUGGGAUUUUUUUUGGAUUUUUUGGGGAUUUUUUUAUGGGUUAUUUUGGGGUUUUUUGGGGAUUUUUUUCUUGGGUUUUUGGGGAUUUUUUCUGGGUUUUAUUGGGAUUUUUUCCAGGGUUUUUUGGGAUUUUUUCUGGGUUUUAUUGGGAUUUUUUCUGGCUUUUAUUGGGAUUUUUUCUGGGUUUUAUUGGGAUUUUUUCUGGGUUUUUUGGGAUUUCUUUUUUGAUUUUUUGGGGGAUUUUUUCUUGGGUUUUUUAGGAUUUUUUUCUGGGUUUUUUGGGAUUUUUUCUGGGUUAUUUUGGGAUUUUUUCUGGCUUUUAUUGGGAUUUUUUCCAGGGUUUUUUGGGGGAUUUUUUUGGGAUCUUUUGGGUAAAUUUUUGGGGUUAUUUUGGGGAUUUUCUUUGGAUAUUUUGGGAAUAUUUUGGGGAUAAUUUGGGAUAUUUUUUGGGGAUAAUUUGGGGAUAUUUUUUGGGGAUAAUUUGGGAUAUUUUGGGACAUUUUGGGGCUCAGAGCUCGUCGUGCUCCUCGUGCCCAGGUGUUUCGGGCUCCCUGCAGGCCGCAGGUGUCUCCAGCUCCAGCAGGUACUCGCAGCGGCUCGGCUCCGACGCCGCCGUCACCGCCGUGUCCCGGCCACACCUGAGCCGCACCUGGCAGGGGACAGCACAGCUCAGACACACCUGGGACACCUGGGACACCUGGGGACACCUGGGACACACCUGGGACACACCUGGGGACACCUGGGGACACCUGGGGACACCUGAGAUACACCUGAGAUACACCUGGCACGGGGACAGCACAGCUCAGACACCUGGGGACACCUGGGGACACCUGGGGACACCUGGGACACACCUGGGGACACCUGGGGACAUCUGGGGACAUCUGAGGACAUCUGGGGACACCUGAGAUACACCUGGGACACACCUGGGGACACCUGGAAAUAGCUGAGCACAACUGGGGACACACCUGGGACACAGCUGGGACACAGCUGGGGACAUUGUGGGGGCUCAGGUGACACAGGACAGGUGACACACAGGUGACACAGGUGACACAGGUGACAGGUGACACAGAUGACACAGGACAGGUGACACAGGUGACACACAGGUGACACAGGACAGGUGACACAGGUGACACACAGGUGACACAGGACAGGUGACACAGGACAGGUGACACAGGUGACAGGUGUGUCACUCACCGUGGUGGCUCUGUUGGGUCCCUGCCAGCACCCCGUGCUGCUCACACAGGUGUGACACAGGACAGGUGACACACACACACAGGUGACACACACACACAGGUGACACACACAGGUGACACAGGUGACACAGGUGACACACACACACACAGGUGACACAGGACAGGUGACACAGGUGACACAGGUGUCACUCACCGUGGUGGCUCUGUUGGGUCCCUGCCAGCACCCCGUGCCCCCCUCGUAUUUUUGGGC